AAUGAACGCUGGCGGCGCGCCUAAUACAUGCAAGUCGAGCGAGAAGACGUAGCAAUACGUUUGUAAAGCGGCGAACGGGUGAGGAAUACAUGGGUAACCUACCCUCGAGUGGGGAAUAACUAGCCGAAAGGUUAGCUAAUACCGCGUACGCUCCUUGGACUUCGGUUCAGGGAGGAAAGCGAUACCGUGGGUAUCGCGCUCUUGGUUGGGCUCAUGUCCUAUCAGCUUGUUGGUGAGGAACGGCUCACCAAGGCUUCGACGGGUAGCUGGUCUGAGAGGACGAUCAGCCACACUGGCACUGCGACACGGGCCAGACUCCUACGGGAGGCAGCAGUAAGGAAUAUUGCGCAAUGGGCGAAAGCCUGACGCAGCGACGCCGCGUGGGGGAUGAAAGC
rnacentral:rRNA from 1 species